GAUGAACGCUAGCUACAGGCUUAACACAUGCAAGUCGAGGGGCAGCAUGAUUGAAGCUUGCUUCAAUCGAUGGCGGCCGGCGCACGGGUGAGUAACACGUAUCCAACCUGCCGAUAACUCGGGGAUAGCCUUUCGAAAGAAAGAUUAAUACCCGAUAGUAUAGUAUUUCCGCAUGGUUUCACUAUUAAAGAACUUCGGUUAUCGAUGGUGAUGCGUUCCAUUAGAUAGUUGGCGGGGUAACGGCCCACCAAGUCAACGAUGGAUAGGGGUUCUGAGGGGAAGGUCCCCCACAUUGGAGCUACGACCCGGUCCAAACUCCUACGGGAGGCAGCAGUAAGGUAUAUUGAUCACUGGACGAGAGUCUGAAACAGCCAAGUAGCGUGAAGGAUGACUGCCCUAUGGGUUGUAAACUUCUUUUAUACGGGAAUAAAGUGGAGUAUGCAUACUCCUUUGUAUGUACCGUAUGAAUAAGGAUCGGCUAACUCCGUG
rnacentral:rRNA from 1 species